rnacentral:rRNA from 1 species
UACAGAGGUCUCAAGCGUUUGUUCGGAUUCAUUGGGCGUAAAGGGUGCGUAGGCGGCGGGGCAAGUCAGGUGUGAAAUCCCGGAGCUCAACUCCGGAACUGCACUUGAUACUGCCUCGCUAGAGUACUGGAGAGGAGACUGGAAUUUACGGUGUAGCAGUGAAAUGCGUAGAUAUCGUAAGGAAGACCAGUGGCGAAGGCGAGUCUCUGGACAGUUACUGACGCUGAGGCACGAAGGCCAGGGGAGCAAACGGG